rnacentral:rRNA from 1 species
UUCGCAAUGCCCGAAAGGGUGACAAUGCGACGCCGCGUGUGUGAUGAAGGUCUUCGGAUUGUAAAACACUGUCGGCCGGAAGGAAUCUCCGGAGGUUUAACAAAUCUUCGGGGUGACAGUACCGGCAAAGGAAGCCACGGCUAACUCUGUGCCAGCAGCCGCGGUAAUACAGAGGUGGCGAGCGUUGUUCGGAUUUACUGGGCGUAAAGGGCGCGUAGGCGGCGCGGUGUGUCGGGUGUGAAAUCCAUGGGCCCAACCCAUGAAGUGCGCCCGAAACUGCCGCGCUGGAGUGCGGGAGGGGAGAUCGGAAUGCAGGGUGUAGCGGUGAAAUGCGUUGAGAUCGGAAGGAACGCCCGUGGCGAAAGCGAGGUCCUGGACGUCUGCUGACGCUGAGACGCGAAAGCUAGGGGAGCAAACGGGAUUAGAUACCCCGGUAGUCCUAGCCGUAAACGAUGGGCACUAAGUAGAGGGGUUUU